CUAGAUCCAAGAAGAAACAUAUGUCUUGUAUCCAACUACACUCCAAGAAAGAACAUACACCAAGUUAACUCAUGUGCCCUAAUUGACUGCUCAAAACCUGAGGUCAUAAGGCUCAUCAGGAAAACAUACACACUACAAAGUUUCAGCUUUACUACUGUGCUCAACAUGAAAGCCUAAAUCGAAGUGCAAAAUGACUCUGAUUCAGUUGGCAGUUUCAGAAAUACCAAAUACUAUCUUAUGGUUCAAAGUGUGAAACAUGUUUUGUCAAAACCAAAGUGGUCAGAAAAAAAACGUCACCAGAGGAACUAUAGAAUAUGUUUACAGAGAAUGCAUAUUAGUAAGUUGUCCAUUCUCAGGAGAUAACAUGCCCUUCAGACCAAGACUUGACAAGUUCCUACAAAACAAAGGCACACACAAAUUAGGCAAAAACAUCAAAAUACAUAUUAUCAAUCAGAGCAUAGGGAAAUAUUGCAAACAUAACACAUGCUAGAAAACAAUCUAAACAAAGCAAACGUAGCUGCACAAGAUGGGCAUCCUAUACUGAAUAGCCCAUGCAUGUCAGGGGAACUGGAUGUUUAACAAGAUAUGCCCAACACUGAUGCUCCACAUGCGAUUUUGUAAAAGAUCCUAUUUGUUUUUUGAAAGUGUUAAUAAGAACCCUCCUUAUCAGGACGGUCAACAAACUGUCAAUCCAAGAAAGAUGCUCCCUAAAUGCAGUUGAAAUGUCUUAUUUUAGGACAAGAAAAUGCCAAUCAUCCUUCCAACGACGCAAGACAACAUAAUAUGAUUCUGCAGUUAUGCUAAUAGCCACAAAUACUUAAUACGGUGCAACAUCAGGCGUUGAUUUGUUCCAAAGAAGCAUAAAUGACAAAUCUGGGUUCCAUCUUUUUUCUGUGCAAAUAAAGGAAAAACUUACAAGCCUACGACCCACCCAUCAUCCGAGCACUGCAUGCCAAACCAAGAACAAGGACCAGCGUGGUCUUUAUACCAAUACAGCAGAGCACCGCGGAUCAGCCUCUACCAUCUCCCUGAACCUCAGAAGAGCAAUACCUGCAAAGAAACCAGCAAACAAAGCCCUAAUAAGAGUCAAACGAGGAAGCUGGCAAAACAAUAAACCACAGCCGAAAGAAGAAGCAAUCGAAGCCACGACCCGACACCUUCGUGAUUCAGGGACACACACAGCUCGAAGUGAUGCUCCAAAUUAGAUCAAACUGACUUUUGAUGCACAGGAAAUUUCACCUGGAUCCACUCUAUAAUCGAGGGACUCAUAACUAUAAUUGUCUCCCAUACUAAGUUUUUCAUUCACGCCUCUACAACGCCACUCAUUCUUAUGCAACUUGCUAGUGACAGAGAUGACCAAAUCAAUGUCGCAGAUCCGUAGUAAAAUUGCUGCUCGGUUCUUCCAAUUGCCUCAUCAAUUUUACUAUUAAUUGAAUGAAAUAACAAGCAAUCACAUCAUCUAUUCAUAAAAAGUACCCCAACAAAGGUCAAAUCCGCAUAGACAUAAGGGAGGAAGAGCGCAUUGUGCUUCUCUGGAUCCUAUUCAUCGGGGAUGUGGAGGAUAGUAGCGGGAGGAGGGCUGGUGAUCGAGGGCCUCUGCUCGUCGGCAUCGACCACCGCUCCUUGGAGAAGACUACCAUGUCGGAUCCCGUCGGCCGGACUCCGCGCCAUGGUCAGCGUCAUCCUCCAGCGUGGGCUCACGCAGGCAGGCCUUGGAGGAGCGAGGCGACUUUGAGGGUCACGACCGCCGCAAGGUGCCGCGCGACGCUCCAGCUUUCGCAUCUUGCUUCUGGUCCCGGCCCCCUCUAUGCUCGCUCGUGCUCCGGAGCCGCCCUUGCACGACGGCGGAGUGGAUUCCGGCGGCGCGACACCCUUGCACGACGGCGGAGUGGAUUCCGGCGGCGCGACAGAGAGGAGGAGUCUGGCGGCGCGAUGGCGAGGCGGAGUCCGGCGGCGCGCGACGGCGUGGCAGGGGGCGGCGGCGCGCUGGAGGUGGAGACGUGAUUGGGGGUCGUGGGUCGUGCGGGUAGAUGGAUUAUUUUCUGUAGGGGGGCGCGGGUUGAAUAUU
rnacentral:lncRNA from 1 species